CUGGCGGAUGCCAGCCUCCACAUAAGGACCCUGACUACCCUGAGCCACGCUUGCUGGAGAGGCCACAGUGGGCCCAGCUGAGCCCCCAGCCGACAGCCAGCAUCAAGUACCAGGCAUCUGAGGAGGAGAUUGAAGUUGGGGUAAUGGAGCCUUGUCUGGGCCAUGGACCAUGGGAGUGAAGAAAGCCAGGUUGCCCAGAGAAGCAGGAAAGCGUAAAAGAAGUCUGUGGAAAUGAACAGAGCAAAUCAAACCGUGGGAAUAGGGAGCAGGCAACCUCGAUCGAUGCCUGGUACUUCAGUUACCAGUUCCAUUCCUUCAUGAGGUCACCUGAAACCUAUAUGCAAGAAGUCAUGUCAGGCAGGCCCAAGGGCAACCUCUGGCCA